UCCAACCAGCUAGUACGAUUGACUGACCAAUAGAAAGCUAAAUGCCACGGUACAAGUAAACUAAGCAAGCUCACGAAUUAGAUAUGGUUACGACUAGAAUUUCUUGUUUUCACGUUUUUAAAAAUAUAGCUAAAGUUGCGUCAUUGACAUUGUAAAAGAGAUACACACGUUGCACAUUAUGAAAUAAAGAAAAAGCUGGCGACUUUGACAGACUGAGCAGUACAGUAAGUAACGUUAGCCUGCCACUGGAAGAAAGUGAAGACAGCAACUCAGUAAGGUCUACACAUUGGCCAAACUAUCUAUCAAUGCUAAUUGGAGACUACCCCACUGGAAGAUGAGGUCAACCACCUCAGGUGUCAACUGCCUGUCUCUCUCUCAGAAAAAGCUGUGCCUUGCCCACACCAAGGCAGUGACAAGGGAGAGGGAGGCAAAAGCACCAGUCAAGAUCCAGGUCAUGGACAGGACACACCAGACAGGACCCACCAGACCUACAGCCAUCUUGGGUAGUGCACACCUCAGGCUGGCAAACCUGGAUAGGGUGUUCCCCAAGGACCAACCAGCUGCCUGGCUCAGAACCAGUCCUACCUGGCCCAAUCCACUCCUGCUUCUUGUCCCUCACUGCGCUGGGUAUCACCAGGUCACAAACCAUAACAGGCUGGAAAAGUUAGUGAAAAAAGUUGUGAGUUGCAAGAUAGUAGGUAGCCAGCUAUGCAGCCUCACAGACAAGAAUAUGCACACAAAAAGGACAAGGACAUAAUUUCUAACCAGUAUGCAUUCCUACCAUCAGGGCACAGGAUAGUGGAAGUGGCUUCUGGCUUUAUACCUGCCUCUGUAAGGCUACUGAGUGUGUGACCAAUGACCAUUAAUAUUUGUGAUCCAUCGCAGGUUUUCCUGAAGCACCUGCAACCAGCACAACUGUACAUCCUUUUUUUGACAGUGUUCAACAUUGGGGUUUUUUCUCCAAUGUUUCUAACAUUUCAGUGCAGCAAGCAAAUCAUUUAUUUUGACUUACUGUGAGGUGUUACUGAUAUUAAUUUCAUAGGUGAUCUAUCAAGAGCAACUUGCUAAAGAUAAGCUAAGUGUAUAGCCUACAUCAGGAAUACUUAAAACGAGGAAUUACAAAAAUGCAUAAUCUGUCUCAUGUCUGUUAUCUGAUAGCUAGUUCUGCCCUAUCCUAAACCUAUUUCAAUGUUUGGUCCUCGUGAACAGGAGACAAAAGGAAUGAGUCAAGUCAGUCACAGUCAGAUAUUUUAUUUUCAAAACAAUUAUAUUUCCAACAGUGCUACACUAAUUUGAAAAAAUAAAUAAUUAUACAAUUGAAUAAAUAAAGUACUGUCCUAAUACACUGCUCAAAAAAAUAAAGGGAACACUUAAACAACACAAUGUAACUCCAAGUCAAUCACACUUCU